rnacentral:lncRNA from 1 species
CGAUGCCGCCACCGACAGAUGAGGCCCUCCUCCCUUAUUUUUCAUGUCAAGCAUCUUUUUCUCCUAUCUCUUCAUCGAAUUUUUCACUUGGCAUGAAUCCAACAGUUCCAAAAUUCUAUAAAUUGCCCUCUCCCUUCCCUUUCUUAAAGGUUUUGCACGAGCGUUUGCGCGGCUAGCACAAGAUGUGCGCACUGUACGAAUGUGUCAUCUGCGCGGGGCACAAGGCGUGGUCUGCGCACGUGACCCAUCGUGCGCUGCCAAGCACGGCUCCACUCACGCACUGUCCAUGUGGUAGGCCUAUACACAGAGGUAUACACAUAGUAGGCUAGCACAUAGAGGCCUAUGCGUGGUAGGCCUACACGCAGAGGCUUGCUCACGAUAAGCCUACAUGCAGUAGGCUUGCAUGUGGCAGGCUAGGCAACCGUGCCACCUGCUAGGGCGUCGCGCGUCGCCAGUUGGGCAGUGAGCCAUUGCCGGCUUAAGAAAUGUGGUACAAUCGUUUGGAUUGUAUGCCUCUGAUUUUUAUACUAUCUUCACGUCGCGUCAUCCACCUAUCGGUCACAUAUAUCAGCCGUCACAUCUCACAUUUUUCGUUGACUCUCACCAAAUUUUGCUAGUUGGUGCAAAUCUGACGAUCCAAAUUUUCUAUAAAUAAAGACUCCCCCUUCACCAUUUCCUCAACACUUUCAUUUCAAUUCUUUCAUCCUCCAAGAGCUUUAAAGAGAGAAGGAGUGAUCUAGAGAGAGAGGGAGAGGAGAAAAACAAAAAAAGGCAUAGUUUCAUCGAGGUUUCAGUAAUGAAUUUAAUAUUUAAUUUUAAACAUCCUAAGGAGCAUUUCUAGAUUGAAAUUAACAAACUUUAAAUUAAUGGUUGCAUUAUUAAAUUAUAUGCUUAAACGAAAAAAUUUUUACAU